rnacentral:lncRNA from 1 species
GCUCUGUUUGCGCUGGGUAGGCCUGUACUUCCUCCAAGUUAGGCAUAGCCAUGUGACAUGCCUUAGCCAAUGAAAUGAGAGCAGAAGUGACGGACAGCUCAAGGCUUAAUCCUUAACAGCAUGAUUCACUCACUAUGUCCUGUUUUCCUGGCCAGGUGAUAGAGGUGUAGGCCCUGAGUGACCAAGUGAGCAGAUGUCCUUGCUGAUUUGUGAUGGACAUUUCAAAGUGAAAGACACAAAAUGUGUGCUGUUCCAAAUCACUGAGCUUGGAAGGAAGUGUGCAGAAAGAUCCAGCCUAUUCUGACAAUUGGGUCUGACGUGCAGACACAGAUGGAUUUUAAACCCACAAACCAGAUGAGGUCAUCUUCAGCACAAGUGUUAAUGACAACCAGGAGGGACUUGAGGGCUGAGCCCUUCAGUGUCACUGGGAUAGGAGAAGAAAGGAAGUCCAAGAGAAGGAGACUGUUAAGGACUUAAUGUUUGGUCCCCACAAAAUUCGUGUUAUUCGUUGCCUUUAUCACCUACCUGAAGAGUAUAUUUACUGGCUUAUUAAUUUCGAGUCUUCCCUGUUCCCAGAAUUAAAGCUUCAUGAGGACCAGAACUUUAUGCUUUGAGGAGGGAGAAGAAGCUCUAUAAUGAAGACCUAGGAGUGUGGGUGACUUAAGAGAUCCAGAGUGGGACCUUUGAACAGCUCAGAAGACCCAGAAGCCUAAUGGUCAUGAAUUAAAACACCACCUAUUUAGAAACGUGCUACUCUGUAGAAUUGUUCUGUCUUAUUUCUGCACAGUCACAAGAGGUUAGGAGAAGAAAAUCCACGAGAUGCCUGAUGCUUGGGUUGCCCCUUGAACAAAAUUGUGGAAUGUGUUUUGUGAGCCCCCAAGAGUAAUAAUUAGCCAACAUUGCCCCCCAAGAUACCUGUCCACACCAAUAUCCCAUAUUUUCUAUUAGACACUGGUGUUUUCUUUUUAGGAAACUCAAAGGACCCAUCUGGACAGACUAUGUCACUCACAUUACAGAAAGCUGAACAACCAGAAAAAUAAAAAGAAAAAAUUUUUAAAAGCUGUAUAAAGUUUGAGUGUUUGAUUUGCCUCUUCAGGAUGAAGCUACCUUAAAGACUAGGAUAGCCUUUGUUUAUAACAAGUGUAGUUUUGUAAUAGUGGCAACUAACUUAAAAGGAUCACAAGACAACAGUAACGUCUCACUUGCCGAGUGACCAAAAAUGCAUUCUCUGGAACAAAUUA